GUCUACGGCCACACCACCCUGAACGUGCCUGAUCUCGUCUGAUCUCGGAAGCUAAGCAGGGUCAGGCCUGGUUAGUACUUGGAUGGGAGAAAUUUAGUCAUCCAAGGGCUGGCGAGG
rnacentral:rRNA from 1 species